AAUCAACGCUGGCGGCGUGCCUAACACAUGCAAGUCGAACGGGAAAGUGGAGCAAUCCAUGAGUAUAGUGGCGACCGGGUGAGUAACACGUGACUAACCUACCUUCAAGUGGGGGAUAACCUCGGGAAACCGGGGCGUAAUACCGCAUAACAUCUCUGUUAUGAGAAAGCAGAGAUCAAAGGAGUAAUUCGCUGGAAGAGGGGGUCGCGGCUGAUUAGCUAGUUGGUGGGGUAACGGCCCACCAAGGCUUUGAUCGGUAGCCGGCCUGAGAGGGCGCACGGCCACACUGGAACUGAAACACGGUCCAGACUCCUACGGGAGGCAGCAGUGGGGAAUUUUGCGCAAUGGGGGAAACCCUNACGCAGCAACGCCGCGUGGAGGAUGAAGUCCCUUGGGACGUAAACUCCUUUCGACCGGGAAGAUUAUGACGG
rnacentral:rRNA from 1 species